rnacentral:lncRNA from 1 species
GUAUGGUCAGGCGGGAUCAUCUGCCAGCUGGAGGUCUCAGGACUGUGGAAAACCAUGUAUUCUAGCAGUAUAUUCUCUGGCCCAGCCGACCAUUACUAUCUUCAUAACGCUUAUGAAACUGUGCCUUCUCUAAGGCCAUUCACAGCUCUCGACUGGGCUAUCCUUCUUUGCCCUCUGUGCAUAAUUUCAUGCUUAUUUGAUCUCCCCAACCUCUGCACUGACCUGGCUUCUUGUGUUAUAUCCUAAACAACUUGUUCUUGGUUUCAUCCACUCAGUUCUCUGGAUCAGCCAGCUUCACACAGAAGUGACAGCACUUCUGAAAUCCCCUCUUAGUCACUUUUGUAACUUCAACCUCUGCUAAAGGUAGACACUCACUCUAUAGACCAGGCCUUGAGCUCAAAGAUCCACCUGCCUCUGCCCCCUGGCCCCCUCCACCUCCCCACGAGUGCUGGGACUAAAGGUGUGAACCACCACCACCACCACCACCACCACCCAGCUCCCUUGUUUUCUUAACAUUGAUCUAUUUAUAACUAGAGUGAGCAAAGCAGUGGUGGUGCACAACUUUAAUCCCACCACUCAGGAGGCAGAGGCAGGUGGAGCUCUGUGAUUUCGAGGCCAGCCUGGUCUACAAUAUGAGUUCCAGGACAGCCAGGGAUACACAGAGAAACCCUGCCUCAAAAAGAAAAUCAAAUAAACCCCCACAGAGUUACACCUUAUCCACUGCCCAAUGUCCUGCCAUUGGUUCCCAGACCAGAGCCUAGAGCCUGAAAUGGUCAUAUGCUCAGGCCCCAUUGCAAAGGACAGUGGGAAGGCACCUGCUUGUCUAACCUCUGGGGUGGCAAAGCUCGGGAGGGACUCCUCCUUAGGCAGCAGAGAUGCUCACUGGUGUGGGCUGUGCACACUCUGGUUUUCUUUCCUCUAAACUUGUGGGCCCCCAGGUUCAAGCUUUUAAUUUUCAGGUUUGCAUAUCUAUAAGUGCCUCCGUGUAUCUAUGUGGACCACAUGUAUGCCUGGUGCCUGUGGAAAUGAGAAGAAAGCAUUGAAUCCCCUCAAAAAGUGUUCUUAACCCCUUAGCCAUCUCUCCAGCCCCAGGUUCAAAUCCUGAGCACCGUCUGAACUAGUCCUGUGUCCAAGACAGUAUCAUCAAACCCUGCCCUUCCCGCCUUGUGCCAGCUCGCGCUUUUUCUUACAUCUGUAUGUUGAUGCUUAGCAGGUUCCUUGAAUGCUUGGUUUAUGUGCCUGGCUGGAGGAGACACCCAUGGCCUUGCAGAGGGAGCGUUCUGGUGGGAAAGCAGACACAACCCACCCUAGGCCCGUGGUUUCCCUGCAAGAAGCCCAGUGGCUUUCUGGAGGACACUUUUCCUGGAGGAAGUGACUCAAGAGCAGCAUAAGCCAGGCUCUAUGGAAUGUUGGGUGAGCUGCUUGAGGAACUCCAAGGCCUGUCCCACAGUCUUCCAGCCUCCGACUCUCCGGCCCUCAGCGAGGAAGUCCCACUGGUUUUUUUGGUUGGUUUUUUUUUUUUUUUUUAAGGUUUUUUGGUUUUUUUUUUUUUUUCUCAUUCCUGUCUUGGGAGCUUUCCCCAACCAGGAGAGUGAAGAUGGGCGGAGCUGUCACACCAACUGUUAGCCUGCCUUGGCUGAGAGGAGAGGAGGCGAGGAGGGAGCGACCACCCAGCUUUAGUCGUUUUAAAACAGCUCCUGACCCUAGAAGAAGGGAAAUGGAGAUGAAGACCCAAUUGACUUGGUAUGAAGUUUAAAUGCCCCUUCAAGACUUGGGGGUCGAGGACGGUGAGAUUGGCUCAGUGGAUAGAUUCACUUGCCUCUAAGCCUGACAACCUAAGUUAAUAUCCUCUACCCACAUAUGGAAGGAAAAAAAUGAUUUCCAAAAGUUGUCCUCUGACCUCCACACAGAGACCAUGGCCUGUGCACCACCCCCCGAAAAUGUAAUAUAUUUUUUAAAAAGACAUGGGGACUUCCAUUCAGUGUCUCCCAAUGUUUGGGGAUUUCCUUUCCUUAUUUCCUUACUCCCUGUCGGUGCCCUAGAGGAGACAGAGAGAGUCUAACUACGGAGAGGUCAUUCUCUAGGUUGGUUGGUGGAAUAUUCAGGACUCCUGGGAAGGCUCCAACUGGUCCCUGAGAGUCCCAGUUUCCUCUAUCACACAGCAGAAGGUGGGGAAUGGCUGCCGUGGUUGGAAGAGCGCGUUGGUGCUGAGGGGGCCAGCUGGUUGAGAAGCAGGUGGAGAGGGAAAGGACCCUGCUUAAGAGGGGGCUGGGUGGGAAGGCUGGGUAAUUUAUGAUAUCAUUGUUCCCGCCCCUCUUCCCAGCCCCCUGCCACUUUACUGUUGCUAGGAGAUCCUGGCUGGCCCUGUCAAAUGGAAAACUCCUCCUCAGCCAGAGUAGGCCCUACCCUGAGUCACAACAGACCCUAAACACACCAGUGUCUCCUAUGAAUCCAUUCAGGUUCAGCCAGCUUGGGCGUGGGACUACCUGACCGAGCAAGUGCUUGUGUGUGUGUGUGUGUGUGUGUGUGUGUGUGUGUGUGUGUGUGUGUGUGUGUGUGAUAUGGAGGGAGCCAGGAGAUAGACUUUGAGGAUGGAGGAGCACUCUGAGGGCCUGCAGGUGACCCUGGGAACCAAGCCUGGGAAGAACCUAAGUUAAUAAUGCAAUCUUUAUCUUAGAGAGAGUGAUCUUUCAGCAGACUGAUCGAACACACAGGCUUCUCAGCCCACUCCCUCCAGUCAAGGUUAAGGCCUGGCAAAGGUGGAGGAAGAGAAGCUGAGGAGAAAAAGGCGAGGAGAGCCUAGGCACAGGAAGGUGACCGCUUCCCUCCCUCCCAGUGCUGAUUUCCUGUGGACCAGAUUCCAGCACAGUGGAGGGCCAGAGCUCAGGGAACAGACCCAGCAGCACAGCAAGUCUCCAAGGAAAGCUCUAGCAGUCUCCAGGGGCUGAAGGCAGGACUGGGGAAGCGGCUAGCCAGGCUGCAGAAGGCAAAUGCUCCCAGACGGCUGUCCAGCACGCAUCCGCCUUCCUAGCCAAGUUUCCUGGGCUCCUGCCACAGAUCUAAGCCUCAUCCUGACAUCCUGCCCUCUGUGCUCUGGGAUGGCCCAGGGGAGAUGCUUAGCCUUGGCUCCUUGUCUGCUGGUGGAGGGGACACACACCCUUUCUGGACCACAGACCAAAAAGAAGACCUGACGUCAUCCUGAGCACCCCCGCCAUGCAGAGUGUGUUCGCAGACUGCCAACGGGCUGGCUCCGGCCAGCAGAAGUGAACAGAGGUGGAGGUUCAGCCUGACAGCUUCUCCCCAAAGCCAUGGAGAGAAAACCUUACCACCCCCACCGCCCAGCUACUUCCAGCAAGUUGUCCAGCCUGACCCCUCUAUUUCCCCUGUUGUCUCUUAUCUGGGUCCCUGAGACCCACCCCAUCUCCAAUAAAGAACAUUGCAUACUGUGCAUCCACUACUGAACAACAUAGUCACACCAGGCAGGGCUCCCUAAAGCCUACCUGCAUGGCCAGCGUGGUCCGAGGACAGUGUGCUCUCCCCACCCUGUCUGCUAGCCUCCAGCUUCAUGGGAACUCCAUUAAUCAUGGGAUUCCGAGAUCAUCAGAGCAAUAGGAUCACUCCGUCUCCAGGGGAGCACAAGGCAAGAGCCAGAGCGGGACUGUUCUUCAGUCAAGGGGCAGGGGUUGCUGCCUCU